rnacentral:lncRNA from 1 species
UUAAACUUAUUAUUACCGAAUGGGCCAACGAUGUGUUGCAAAUGUCACCAACGAGACACAUCAUCAUAUUAUUAGUGCAUGAAGAUAGAUAGAUAGUAAACAGACACCCAACUCAAACAUAGAUGCCAGUAACAGACAUUGGCAUCCUUAUUCAUCAUGGCACACAGAGAUAGAUAGAUAGUCAACACCCUCCACAAGGGUUGGCUAAGCCAGCAUCACGUAGACUCCAAAUGCAGUGAGAUACUCUGUAGUUGCAUGUCCGAAAAAGCCCUUAAUCUCGUCAUAUUCUACAUUGACUUGGAAAAAGGUUCCACCCCCACCUCCAUAUGGACCAUAUGUCUUUCCAAGACUGGUGGUAAACGUGAGUUGAGAUACACAAGGGAAUUCAGAACAGUCGUGCUUGACAUAACCNNNNNNNNNNNNNNNNNNNNNNNNNNNNNNNNNNNNNNUAGACUCCAAAUGCAGUGAGAUACUCGGUAGUUGCAUGUCCAAAAAAGCCCUUAAUCUCGUCAUAUUCUACAUUGACUUCGAAAAAGGUUCCACCCCCACCUCCAUAUGGACCGUAUGUCUUUCCAAGAUUGGUGGUAAACGUGAGUUGAGAUACACAAGGGAAUUCAGAACAGUCGUGCUUGACAUAACCAGAAACGGAGGUGAGGUAUUCAUCCGGCAUGAGAGUAAACUGCGAGGCAAUUGGAGCAAUGAUACAUUUAGUGAUUUAUAUAUGUUGUAAAUAGUGCGUUUGAUAGCAGGUAUUAUUAGUACGAGGGGAAGGCAAAAGAAUAGAAUAGACG